GAAAGAUAAGAAGUUUCCUUUGCAUUCAUUGUAUUUUUCUCCACCGCCUAUGUUCAUUAGCUAGCAGCACCAUCUUCGUUUUCUUUUUAUUGAAGCUUAAAAGAGUUAGCAGCAAACAAUUGAUCCUUCUUCAAUUAACCACAGUACUAUGCACAUCGUUCUCUCCCUUUACAAUUCAGCGAAGUGUAGCAACAAAUAAAUAAGGCAAAUAAAUAGGGGAGAUGCUGUCAAAAUUUCGGCAGAUUUCAGAAAGAUUUAUUUGAAGGACUAAGACGAGCAUUGAGUAGUCAAAGUUGAGGCGGCUAAAAAGGUGUAUACAGAUGAGUAGAGGAUACUGCUAGAAGAUGUUCCAGCUGAAUUGGUGAGCUCCAUUUCCUUCCGGAGUGUUGCCGAGUCAGAGUACUUACGUUAUGGUAUUUUGUCUAUAUUAGUGACUUUGCAGACAGUGUCCUGUGGUACGUUUGUCGAGAUGUCGACAGAGUGAUGUCAGCUGAACCAUUUGUGUACUUUAAAAGAGCAUGUAUUUUAGAUGAUUUCAAUUGGGUUAAAGUACUUAUUUGAUUGAAAGUUUUCAUAAUCGUUAUAAAGAUAAUGAUUUCUAUUUGGAAAAGUUUCAUGUUUUUAAAAAGUUUUUGAAAUGACCGGUUUUGAUAGAGCGAAUGUCUAAGGGUUCGCUCGACUCUGAUAAGAGUCGGGUGCCCGUCAUGCCCUAUCAGGACUGGGGUGUGACAGUAACAAUUAUUACUGUUCUUCUAUUAUCUCUGUGAUUUUUAUUACCACUUGUUAUUUUCAUUUUUUGCUUUAGUUAUCGUAUUAUUUGUUGUCAUUGUUCUUUUCUCUAUUAUUUUCCACAUGGCUUCUUCACUAUUAUAUUUCCUUUUCCAACUUUCUUUGACUUAUUUUACUUGAGU